rnacentral:ncRNA from 2 species
UUAAAAGUCAACGGUGUUGGUUUUGGAAACAAGUUCGUUUCUGAAUUAAAAGGGAAUUCCGUGAUUCUGAAUCUUCAGCUAAAUCGGAAGCUGUUCCCGCAACUGUAAUCCUUUUCGGCAAUAGCCGGAACCGCAGCCUCACCUUUGCCACUGAUCAAUAGGAUCGGGAAGGCGCUGCACAAGGAAAGCCAGGAGACCUGCCAAUACGUAAAUUUUUCA